GACGAACGCUGGCGGCGUGCUUAACACAUGCAAGUCGAGCGAGCGGCGGAAGGGUGAGUAAUGUCUGGGAAACUGCCUGAUGGAGGGGGAUAACUACUGGAAACGGUAGCUAAUAACGCAUACCAUCAGAUGUGCCCAGAUGGGAUUAGCUAGUAGGUGGGGUAAUGGCUCACCUAGGCGACGAUCCCUAGCUGGUCUGAGAGGAUGACCAGCCACACUGGAACUGAGACACGGUCCAGACUCCUACGGGAGGCAGCAGUGGGGAAUAUUGCACAAGGGGCGCAAGCCUGAUGCAGCCAUGCCGCGUGUGUGAAGAAGGCCUUCGGGUUGUAAAGCACUUUCAGCGAGGAGGCGUUACUCGCAGAAGAAGCACCGGCUAACUCCGUGCCAGCAGCCGCGGUAAUAC
rnacentral:rRNA from 1 species